rnacentral:lncRNA from 12 species
GGGGGGGGGGGGGGGGGGGGGGGGGGGGGGAGCGGGGCCGCCGGCGGCGGGGACAUCGGGCGAAGACACCGGGACGGAGAAAUAGGGAGGCGACAUCGGGUGGGACACCAGAAUUGAGCACCGGGGAGGGGACAUUAGGGAGGGAGCUCUAGGAAAGGGACACCGUGGGUGUGGGGGGUCGGGACCACUAAGCACCAAGAAUCACCCACACCAGAGACACCGGGAUGGGGAACACUAGGGGACACUGGGAAAGGGAAGACUGGGAAUGGGGCCACUGGGGACGGGAACAGCUGGGAACAGAGCCCAGGGCUACUCGGGAAGGGACAGCCAAGCCCCUGUCUCUCUCCCUGGGCAGUGGGUGGCCAAGGGCACAGCAGCAUCACGGCCAGUUGAACGAGUUACUUGGGCAGCUGCCGUGGAUCCCGGCUCACCAGAUCCCCAUCCCCACAGGGUCGACUCGGUACUCACCAUGGCUGCAGCACAGCUCGUCACUUGGGGGAUGCUGCUGGCCACCGGGGUCCCUGCCAACGCCCAGGGGGUGCUGCCGGCAGGGCUGACUUUAGGUGGGGACCCCUUGCACAGCCCUGCCUGGGGACAGCAGUGGCCAGGCCCAUCUCCCACCUGGGAGGCAUCGGGGGAGCCGAGCGGUGCCGGGGCCCCAAGGAGUGCGCGCUGGGGGAUCAAGCACUCCGUGCACUGGUCCCCGCCGCUGCAGGCGGGGGAUGGCACCAGGGCACCCCUGGAGAUGGAAGCCACUAUGACAGGCGCUGAUACCAAGGUCUGGAGGGAUGGCAGCACAGUCCCGGCUGUGACAGAGGAGCCGCUUGUUGCCUGGAAAGGGCACGAGGCUGAAGGCCAAGACAGCUCCCUGCUUCACGGCUCUGCACCAGGGACUCCGGGCCCUGAGGUGCUCAUGGACAGAGGGUCAGAUUCUCCAGCGCCUCUCGGGGCAGGGCAGGACCUGUCCCCGUCCGGGCAGAGUGUCUCCAAGGCAGUCGGCACCCACAGCCCUCGGCCAACCGUAUCCACCAUUGCCCUGGACCCCACGCUGGCGGCGGGAAUGAGGACAGCAGAUACCCGCACAGGGGGACACACAGCGGCAGAGGGACACACAGUGGCCUCGGGCCUCUCUCAGGACGCGCAACUCGCUUCAGCCAGCAGCCAGGCGGUCCCCCUGGGCACAGCCCCUGUCUCCAAUCCCACAGGCACGGGGCCAGCCGGGGGUCCCCAUGCCAGCCCUGGCUCUACGCAGCUGGUGGGCAGCUGGGGGGACACGGGAGGGUCCCCCAGCCCCUUCCCGGCUCUGCCCAGCUCUGCCCCACGACUGCGCCACACAGCACCGCCCUGGGGGCUGGCUGAGCCCUGGACUCGAGUGCUCCCGUCUCACCAGCGUAGCACGCGGAGGGCCCCACUCAGCCACGCCACCACUAACCCUGGCGAUGCAGUCCCCCGCACGGACCCUGGGACUGCAGGGCAGCGGGGACCCCAGCCCGUCCCAGGGUCUGUCCUCAGCACCGGCCCUGUGCCGCCUCCUGCCUCCGGCACGGCCACCCCCGGUACCCCGAGCAGAGAGCUGCUGCCCGAGGAGGACGUCGGCUCCCCGCAGCAGGUCCGGGGCGCCGUGGGCCCUGUGAGCGUCCCAAAUGUCACCAAGACGACCCCACAACCAACGGCACAUCCCACCACGGGGACGCUCGGGACAAGACACCCAGACACUCCCCUGCCAGGGACGCAGACCCCAGCCUCCAGCACUGCGACCCCCUCGGCCACGUGGCGACGGGCAGGGCUGACGCCUCAGCCCGUCCCCCGAGAUCCAUCAUCACCGCAGCCACAGUCCAGCCGUGCCCCCCCUACGCCGGGGGCCAACGCGACCGGGCUGCGCUGGGCUGAGCUGCAGCACCAGCUGGGCUUCUCCUGGGAGGCCCAUGUCUAUGGAGUGGCUGGGGGGGUCCUGCUGCUGGCUCUGGGCUGCCUGGCCGGGCUGGCGGGGACAGCCAUCCUACGGCCCCCACACCUCCCACACUCUGUGGGGGCCCACGGGCUGCUGCUGGCCGCCUGCCUGCUGCGGGCCACCUUCCUGCUGCUGGAUCCCUACGGGGCGCGGGGCCGCCUGCCCGCCCCGGCCCUGCUGCUGCUCAACACAGCCCCUUUCCCCCUGCUGCUCGCCGCUUUCGCCCUCCUGCUCCAGAGGCUGCAGCGCCUGGCCCAGUUUCAGCUGCUGCCAUCCCGGCUGCGGGGGCUGCCGGCGCUGGGGGCUGUCGCUGCCCUGCAGGGCGCGGUGAUGGGCGCCGCCGACCUGCUGGGGGGGGGGGGGGGGGGGGGGGGGGGGGGGGGGGGGGGGGGGGGGGGGGGGGGGGGG